UACGAAGGGGGGCUAGCGUUGUUCGGAAUUACUGGGCGUAAAGGGCGCGCAGGCGGUCUUCCAAGUCGGGUGUGAAAGCCCCGGGCUCAACCUGGGAAUUGCAUUCGAUACUGGAUAGCUAGAGUUCGGCAGAGGGAAGCGGAAUUUCCGGUGUAGCGGUGAAAUGCGUAGAUAUCGGAAGGAACAUCAGUGGCGAAAGCGGCUUCCUGGACCAGAACUGACGAUCAGGCCACGAAAGC
rnacentral:rRNA from 1 species